GAAACAGUUGCUAAGACUGGAUAGGAAAUUAAGAGGCAUCUUUUAAUUUUUAAAAGACCUUUUUCGAAAGGUAUGCUUAAAGAGGGGCUUGCGCCACAUUAGUUAGUUGGUAAGGUAAAGGCUUACCAAGACGAUGAUGUGUAGCUGGACUGAGAGGUUGAACAGCCACAUUGGGACUGAGACACGGCCCAAACUCCUACGGGAGGCAGCAGUAAGGAAUUUUUGGCAAUGGAGGAAACUCUGACCGAGCGACGCCGCGUGAACAAUGAAGUACUUCGGUAUGUAAAGUUCUUUUAUUGAAAAAGAAAAAAUAGUGGAAAAACUAUCUUGACAUUAUUCAAUGAAUAAGCCCCGGCUAAUUAUGUGCCAGCAGCCGCGGUAAUACAUAAGGGGCGAGCGUUAUCCGGAAUUAUUGGGCGUAAAGGGUGCGUAGGCGGUUUGAUAAGUCUAUAGUUUAAAUGCAGCGCUUAACGCUGUAGCGCUAUAGAAACUGUCUGACUAGAGUUAGAUAGAGGCAAGCGGAAUUCCAUGUGUAGCGGUAAAAUGCGUAAAUAUAUGGAGGAACACCAGAGGCGUAGGCGGCUUGCUGGGUCUUAACUGACGCUGAGCACGAAAGCGUGGGGAGCAAACAGGAUUAGAUACCCUGGUAGUCCACGCCGUAAACGAUGAGUACUAAGUGUCGGGUUUCGGCUCGGUACUGAAGUUAACACAUUAAGUACUCCGCCUGAGUAGUACGUACGCAAGUAUGAAACUUAAAGGAAUUGACGGGACCCCGCACAAGCGGUGGAUCAUGUUGUUUAAUUCGAAGAUACACGAAAAACCUUACCAGGUCUUGACAUAAUUUUGCGACAUUAUAGAAAUAUAAUGAAGGUUAUCAGAAUUACAGGUGGUGCAUGGUUGUCGUCAGCUCGUGUCGUGAGAUGUUAGGUUAAGUCCUAAAACGAGCGCAACCCUUGUCGUUAGUUGCGACCACGUAAUGGUGAGCACUUUAGCGAGACUGCCAAUGAAAAAUUGGAGGAAGGUGAGGAUUACGUCAAAUCAUCAUGCCCCUUAUGAUCUGGGCUACAAACGUGAUACAAUGGCUGUUACAAAGAGUAGCUACAACGUGAGUUUUUAGCCAAUCUCAAAAAAACAGUCUCAGUUCGGAUUGAAGUCUGCAACUCGACUUCAUGAAGUUGGAAUCGCUAGUAAUCGCGAAUCAGCAUGUCGCGGUGAAUACGUUCUCGGGGUUUGUACACACCGCCCGUCA
rnacentral:rRNA from 1 species